rnacentral:tRNA from 1 species
GAGGGUAUAGUCAGCAGUAGAGCACGUGCUUAGCAUGCACAAGGUCCUGGGUUCAAUCCCCAGUACCUCUG